rnacentral:rRNA from 1 species
AUUGAACGCUGGCGGCAGGCCUAACACAUGCAAGUCGAACGAGUGGCGGACGGGUGAGUAAUGUCUGGGAAACUGCCUGAUAGAGGGGGAUAACUAAUGGAAACGGUAGCUAAUACAGCAACCCAUCGGAUGUGCCCACAUGGGAUUAGCUAGUAGGUGGGGUAAAGGCACACCGAGGCGACGAUCGCUAGCUGGUCUGAGAGGAGGACCAGCCACACUGGAACGGAGACACGGUCCAGACUCCUCCGGGAGGCAGCAGGGGGGAAUAUUGCACAAUGGGCGCAAGCCUGAUGCAGCCAUGCCGCGUGUAUGAAGAAGGCCUUCGGGUUGUAAAGUACUGUCAGCGGGGAGACGUUACCCGCAGAAGAAGCACCGGCUAACUCCGUGCCAGCAGCCGCGGUAAUAC